rnacentral:tRNA from 1 species
GCAGAUGUGGCGGAACAGGUAGACGCAAGGGACUUAAAAUCCCUCGGAAGUUAAACUCCAUGCCGGUUCGAUUCCGGCCAUCUGCACCA